UAGUAGGUCCUAGGUUCAAAUAUGACCUCAGAUAUUUCCUAGUUGUGUGACUCCAAACAAUUAGUUAACCCAUAACCCUCAUUCCCUCACCCUUACUGAAUAAUCAAUAUUAUAUCCCUAGUGCCUUGAGAAGUGUCACUUAAUAAAUGUUGCUUGUUUAAUUUAAUUAACAGAAAACGAGAUCUAAAUGAUCUUUUUCUGUAUGCUCUUGGGCAGAAAUUUUGGGUUGAAAAAAUACAUGGUAGAAUCUAUAAAACAAUGAUCUCUUUCUAAAUAGUUGCUUUGUAGAACGGUAUUUUAGUAAACUUGUUCCCUUAUUUGUUGCUCUACUGGGGUUUAAAAAAAAAUCCUUGACUUUUUGUAUUUCUCAUCUUCUCUCUUCAGACACCAUCAUCUCUAAAAGGUUCCACUCAGUGUUGGGGUUGGAGGCUGAGCCGCCACAUGUCAUCCUGCCAUAAAAUACUGGGAAUGGAUUUGAUGGGAACUAAGGAACUUUUCAGUCCAGUGACACUUCAGCAAACCUUGGAGGAACCUCAAGAUCCCACGAGGUAGAAGAAUGGAGACUAUCCCUGGCAUAUAUAGCUGGUACGAAGGCACCCAGCUUCCCAACCCCAAAUUUACCUGUUUGUCCAGAGAAACCAUUGCACUUGCUUAAUACCAACAGCCAUGCAGAAGGCCAGCCAUAAAUUUCAGUCCUAUGCCUCAUCAUCAUCAUUGUCAUCAUCAUUAUCUGGGAAAUGUCUACAGUGAUUUACAUUUUGAUCCCUAAAACCACCCUAUAAGUGAUUUCCAGAGUAGAGGCCAUUUUCUGCUGUCUGGUCUAUAUGAGCCAUAAAACCAGAGGAUUUAAAGCCAGAAAUAAGCUUUGAAAACAUCUAGUCCAAUCUUCUCACUUUCCAGAAGAAGAAACUGAGGCUCACAGAGCACAGAAUGAAUCUGAAUUUAAAGUCAAAAUUCCAAGGUAUAAAUCAUAGCGGACAUUGUAGCUGAACAGGACCUGGUUGAUUUCAUUUAUUCAGGAAGUUGUAUAUGAUUAGACUUGGACUCAGGCAUCAUUUAAUGCAAUAUUUCCUAGGUCUGAGGAGAUUUGUUGGUCAAAAAGACUCAAGCAUGUGUCUACUAAACUGGAUUAAAAAAGUCAAAAUUUCAUCCCAUUUACAUACUCAGUAUCCACCUAUAUCCCAAUGGAAGGGAGUCAGGCAGACCUGAAACAAAAUCGUUUGUCCAGAAACCAAAAAUUAUUUUCAUCAUGCCUGAAGAUAUAUUCCUUUAGAUCCUAAAGGACUAUUAGGUCUGAAAACAAUUGCCAAAAAUUGUUUCCACAUGCAAAUAAAAAAAAUUAAAUUAAAUUUAAAAGGAUUAUUAAUCCUCCUUUUAAAUCCUUAUAUAUUUAUGUACUUCUCAUUUGAAAAGAAAACCAGGAGAAGACCUGAGCAUGGGGAUCUGGCCAGGAAGAGAUUAGGAAUUGAAAGCAAGCUCCUUUGUCCUCAAAAGAAAAGAUGAGAAAAUGUAGCUCCCUCCCUUCAUUGAAAAAGUGAGGGUCUAUGGUUGUGAAGCACCACAUACACUAUCAGUCUCCAUUAUUAUUUUGUUUCUUUUUGCAUAACUAUUUUAUUCCCCCUUCAUUUUUUUUGUCUCAAG